UUCAAAUUAAAAGCUCCCGUACGUAGACGUGUAAUCAUAUCCAAUGCAUUGCAUUGGAAACGCGCCCAUUACCGUGCGCCUAUCUGCUCGUCCGCGGUUUGGACGACUAAUUGCCGACGCAUCAAAAUGUACUCAGUCCGUUCGCGGGUCGUUCGUUCAGUUCGUUCGCGGGUCGUAUUGAAAAAAGUGCCGAGAGAGUUACCGAAAAAGUGUAUCAUCCAGUGUCCAGUGUAGAACAUCGUCGUGGAAGUUUUCACCGGAAAAUCCAUCAAGACGUCUUCGAGUUAUGCGAAAACGAACAGAGACCGUUUAAUCGUGGACAAAUUCUAGUGCUUUACCGCAGUGUUUCCUGUUGUGCGGUAACCAAGUAUCGGUGAUAGGACUUAAUACCAACUUUUAAUCGGAUACUCUGGGCUUG